rfam:Strongylocentrotus purpuratus Contig103291_fixed, whole genome shotgun sequence.
CCAACGGUCCUUUUUAGGACUACACACCCUCAAGGAAGAUAACCG